UGAGUAUACCAAGGCGCUUGAGAGAACUAUGCUGAAGGAACUCGGCAAAUUGCACGCGUAACUUCGGAAGAAGCGUGACCCCUUUGCACGCAAGUGUAUGGGGGUGGCACAGACCAGGGGGUAGCGACUGUUUAUCAAAAACACAGGGCUCUGCGAAGUCGCAAGAUACGUAUAGGGUCUGACGCCUGCCCGGUGCUGGAAGGUUAAAGGGAGGGGUGCAAGCUCUGAACUGAAGCCCCAGUAAACGGCGGCCGUAACAAUAACGGUCCUAAGGUAGCGAAAUUCCUUGUCGGGUAAGUUCCGACCUGCACGAAUGGCGUAACGACUUCCCCGCUGUCUCCAGCAUAGACUCAGUGAAAUUGAAUUCCCCGUGAAGAUGCGGGGUUCCUGCGGUUAGACGGAAAGACCCCGUGCACCUUUACUAUAGCUUUACAUUGGCAUUCGUAGUGGCAUGUGUAGGAUAGGUGGUAGGCUUUGAAGCCGGGGCGCCAGCCUCGGUGGAGCCACCCUUGAAAUACCACCCUUAUCACUAUGGAUGUCUAACCGCGGCCCGUUAUCCGGGUCCGGGACAAUGUAUGGUGGGUAGUUUGACUGGGGCGGUCGCCUCCUAAAGAGUAACGGAGGCGCGCGAUGGUGGGCUCAGAACGGUCGGAAAUCGUUCGCUGAGUGCAAUGGCAUAAGCCUGCCUGACUGCGAGACUGACAAGUCGAGCAGAGACGAAAGUCGGUCAUAGUGAUCCGGUGGUCCCGCGUGGAAGGGCCAUCGCUCAACGGAUAAAAGGUACGCCGGGGAUAACAGGCUGAUGACCCCCAAGAGUCCAUAUCGACGGGGUUGUUUGGCACCUCGAUGUCGACUCAUCGCAUCCUGGGGCUGGAGCAGGUCCCAAGGGUAUGGCUGUUCGCCAUUUAAAGCGGUACGUGAGUUGGGUUCAGAACGUCGUGAGACAGUUCGGUCCCUAUCUGCCGUGGGUGUAGGAAUAUUGAAAGGAUCUGUCCCUAGUACGAGAGGACCGGGAUGGACGGAUCUCUGGUGGACCUGUUGUGGCGCCAGCCGCAUCGCAGGGUAGCUAUAUCCGGACGGGAUAACCGCUGAAGGCAUCUAAGCGGGAAACCCACCUUAAAACGAGUAUUCCCUUGAGAGCCGUGGAAGACGACCACGUUGAUAGGCCGGGUGUGGAAGUGCGGCAACGCAUGAAGCUUACCGGUACUAAUAGCUC
rnacentral:rRNA from 1 species